CCUACGGGUGGCUGCAGUGGGGAAUAUUGGACAAUGGGCGAAAGCCUGAUCCAGCCAUGCCGCGUGUGUGAAGAAGGCCUUCGGGUUGUAAAGCACUUUCAGUGGGGAAGAAAGCCUUGGGGCUAAUACCCUCGAGGAAGGACAUCACCCACAGAAGAAGCACCGGCUAACUCCGUGCCAGCAGCCGCGGUAAUACGGAGGGUGCGAGCGUUAAUCGGAAUUACUGGGCGUAAAGCGCGCGUAGGCGGUCUGAUAAGCCGGUUGUGAAAGCCCCGGGCUCAACCUGGGAACGGCAUCCGGAACUGUCAGGCUAGAGUGCAGGAGAGGAAGGUAGAAUUCCCGGUGUAGCGGUGAAAUGCGUAGAUAUCGGGAGGAAUACCAGUGGCGAAGGCGGCCUUCUGGACUGACACUGACGCUGAGGUGCGAAAGCGUGGGUAGCAAACAGGAUUAGAUACCCUAGUAGUC
rnacentral:rRNA from 1 species